GGAUUCCCCUAGUAACUGCGAGUGAAGCGGGAAAAGCUCAAAUUUAAAAUCUGGCGGUUUUGGCCGUCCGAGUUGUAGUCUGGAGAAGUGUUUUCCGCGCUGGACCGUGUAUAAGUCUCUUGGAACAGAGCGUCAUAGAGGGUGAGAAUCCCGUCUUUGACACAGACUACCAGUGCUUUGUGAUGCGCUCUCGAAGAGUCGAGUUGUUUGGGAAUGCAGCUCAAAAUGGGUGGUAAAUUCCAUCUAAAGCUAAAUAUUGGCGAGAGACCGAUAGCGAACAAGUACCGUGAGGGAAAGAUGAAAAGCACUUUGGAAAGAGAGUUAAACAGUACGUGAAAUUGCUGAAAGGGAAACGCUUGAAGUCAGUCGCGUCGUUUAAAACUCAGCCUUGCUUUUGCUUGGUGCACUUUCUGAACGACGGGCCAGCAUCAAUUUCGAUCGUCGGAAAAGGGUUGGAGGAAUGUGGCACUCUUCGGAGUGUGUUAUAGCCUCUAAUCACAUACGGCGGUUGGGAUUGAGGAACGCACCGCGCCGCAAGGCAGGGGUUCGCCCACUUUCGCGCUUAGGAUGCUGGCGUAAUGGCUUUAAACAACCCGUCUUGAAACACGGACCAAGGAGUCUAACAUGCCUGCGAGUGUUUGGGUGNAAAACCCGAGCGCGUAAUGAAAGUGAAAG
rnacentral:rRNA from 1 species